rnacentral:rRNA from 1 species
UACAUGGGGUGCAAACGUUGCUCGGAAUUACUGGGCGUAAAGGGCGCGUAGGCGGCCUGCUAAGUCGAACGUGAAAUCCCCGGGCUCAACCCGGGAACUGCGUCCGAUACUGGUUGGCUUGAAUCCGGGAGAGGGAUGCGGAAUUCCAGGUGUAGCAGUGAAAUGCGUAGAUAUGCGGAGGAACACCGAUGGCGAAGGCAAUCCCCUGGGCCUGCACUGACGCUCAUGCACGAAAGCGUGGGGAGCAAACAGG